GACGUGGGAGGCCAUAAUGGGAUGUGGGAGGCCAUAAUGGGAUGUGGGAGGCCAUAAUGGGACGUGGGAAGUGGUGGUGGGACGUGGGAGGCCAUAAUGGAACAUGGGAGGCGGUGGUGGGACGUGGGAGGUGGUGGUGAGACGUGGGAGCCCAUAAUGGGAUGUGGGAGGUGGUGGUGGGACAUGGGAGGCCAUAAUGGGAUGUGGGAGGCCAUAAUGGGAUGUGGGAGGCGGUGGUGGGACGUGGGAGGCCAUAAUGGGACGUGGGAGGCAGUGGUGGGACGUGGGAGGCAGUGGUGGGACGUGGGAGGCGGUGGUGGGACGUGGGAGGCCAUAAUGGGAUGUGGGAGGCCAUAAUGGGACGUGGGAGGCGGUGGUGGGACGUGGGAGGCCAUAAUGGGAUGUGGGAGGCCAUAAUGGGACGUGGGAGGCAGUGGUGGGAUGUGGGAGGCCAUAAUGGGACGUGGGAGGCCAUAAUAGGAUGUGGGAGGCCAUAAUAGGAUGUGGGAGGCCAUAAUGGGACGUGGGAGGUGGUGGUGGGACGUGGGAGGCCAUAAUGGGAUGUGAGAGGUGGUGGUGGGACGUGGGAGGCUGUGGUGGGAUGUGGGAGGCCAUAAUGGGACGUGGGAGGCCAUAAUAGGAUGUGGGAGGCGGUGGUGGGACGUGGGAGGCCAUAAUGGGACGUGGGAGGUGGUGGUGGGACGUGGGAGGCCAUAAUGGGACAUGGGAGGCGGUGAUGGGACGUGGGAGGCGGUGGUGGGACGU